rnacentral:lncRNA from 1 species
GCGUAUUAAGUUGUUGGGAUUCAUUGCUGCGUUGAGUUCGUUAUAUCUUAGAAAGCUUUGAUCCAGGUAUGGGGUGAGGGAAAAGAGUUCGAGAUCAUGAGUGUAAAUUAAUUGAGAUAAACAGGAAAACAAUAUUUCCCAAAGUUCAUUCGGGGCUCCCUGCGACGGUUAUAGCCCUUCGAGAGAAUAAUGAAUUAAUG